rnacentral:rRNA from 1 species
UCUCGCAAGGCUAAAUACUAACCAGUGACCGAUAGUGAACCAGUACCGUGAGGGAAAGGUGAAAAGAACCCCGGGAGGGGAGUGAAAGAGAACCUGAAACCGUGUGCCUACAAGUAGUCAGAGCCCGUUAACGGGUAAUGGCGUGCCUUUUGUAGAAUGAACCGGCGAGUUGCGUUAGUCAGCAAGGUUAAGUCAGAAAAGACGGAGCCGCAGCGAAAGCGAGUCUGAAGAGGGCGAGCAGUUGGCUGACGCAGACCCGAAACCAAGUGACCUACCCAUGACCAGGUUGAAGGCGCGGUAAAACGCGCUGGAGGACCGAACCCACGUAAGUUGAAAAUUGCGGGGAUGAGUUGUGGGUAGCGGUGAAAUUCCAAACGAACUUGGAGAUAGCUGGUUCUCUCCGAAAUAGCUUUAGGGCUAGCCUCGCAAAGAGGAUGCUGGAGGUAGAGCUCUGUUUGGACUAGGGGCCCGUCAAGGGUUACUGAAUUCAGAUAAACUACGAAUUCCAGACAUUUAUGUGCGGGAGUCAGACUGCGAGUGAUAAGAUCCGUAGUCGAAAGGGAAACAGCCCAGAUCACCAGUUAAGGUCCCAAAAUUCAUGCUAAGUGGAAAAGGAUGUGGAGUUGCGCAGACAACUAGGACGUUGGCUCAGAAGCAGCCAUCAUUCAAAGAGUGCGUAAUAGCUCACUAGUCGAGUGACGCCGCGCCGAAAAUUUACCGGGGCUAAGCAUGAUACCGAAACUGUGGAUGUGCAUUUAUGCACGUGGUAGGAGAGCGUUCUAGCGGCGGUGAAGCAUGACCGAGAGGACAUGUGGAGCUUCUAGAAGUGAGAAUGCCGGUAUGAGUAACGAAAGACAGGUGAGAAUCCUGUCCGCCGCAAGACUAAGGUUUCCUGGGGCAGGCUCGUCCGCCCAGGGUAAGUCGGGACCUAAGGCGAGGCCGAGAGGCGUAGUCGAUGGACAACAGGUUGAAAUUCCUGUACUGCACCGAAUCGUUAUGAGCGAUGGAGGGACGCAGGAGGCUAGCAGCGCGUGGUGCUGGAUACCACGUUCAAGCGUCAAGUCUGAGAGUGAGUCAAAUGCUUGCUUUCAUAAGGACAAGGCGUGAUGAGGAGCGAAAUUAAAGUAGCGAAGGUUGCGACGUCACACUGCCGAGAAAAGCUUCUAGCCAGAAACGGUGCACCCGUACCGCAAACCGACACAGGUAGUCGAGGAGAGUAUCCUCAGGUGAGCGAGAGAACUCUCGUUAAGGAACUCGGCAAAAUGGCCCCGUAACUUCGGGAGAAGGGGCGCUGGUCGCAAGAUCAGCCGCAGUGAAAAGGCCCAAGCAACUGUUUAUCAAAAACACAGGCAUCUGCAAAAUCGUAAGAUGAAGUAUAGGUGCUGACACCUGCCCGGUGCUGGAAGGUUAAGAGGAGAGCUUAGCGCAAGCGAAGGUUUGAAUUGAAGCCCCAGUAAACGGCGGCCGUAACUAUAACGGUCCUAAGGUAGCGAAAUUCCUUGUCGGGUAAGUUCCGACCCGCACG